AUUGAACGCUGGCGGAAUGCUUUACACAUGCAAGUCGUACGGCAGCACGGACUUCGGUCUGGUGGCGAGUGGCGAACGGGUGAGUAAUGUAUCGGAACGUGCCCAGUCGUGGGGGAUAACGUAGUGAAAAUUACGCUAAUACCGCAUACGAUCUAUGGAUGAAAGCGGGGGAUCGCAAGACCUCGCGCGAUUGGAGCGGCCGAUAUCAGAUUAGGUAGUUGGUGGGGUAAAGGCCCACCAAGCCAACGAUCUGUAGCUGGUCUGAGAGGACGACCAGCCACACUGGAACUGAGACACGGUCCAGACUCCUACGGGAGGCAGCAGUGGGGGAUUUUGGACAAUGGGCGAAAGCCUGAUCCAGCCAUUCCGCGUGCAGGAUGAAGGCCCUCGGGUUGUAAACUGCUUUUGUACAGAACGAAAAGGUUUCUACUAAUACUAGGAGCUCAUGACGGUACUGUAAGAAUAAGCACCGGCUAACUACGUGCCAGCAGCCGCCGUAA
rnacentral:rRNA from 1 species